rnacentral:rRNA from 1 species
GAGGAUGCCUAGGAAUCUGCCUGGUAGUGGGGGACAACGUUUCGAAAGGRACSCUAAUACCGCAUACSUCCUACGGGAGAAAGCAGGGGACCUUCGGGCCUUGCGCUAUCAGAUGAGCCUAGGWCGGAUUAGCUAGUUGGWGAGGUAAUGGCUCACCAAGGCGACGAUCCGUAACUGGKCUGAGAGGAUGAUCAGUCACACUGGAACUGAGACACGGYCCAGACUCCUACGGGAGGCAGCAGUGGGGAAUAUUGGACAAUGGGCGAAAGCCUGAUCCAGCCAUGCCGCGUGUGUGAAGAAGGUCUUCGGAUUGUAAAGCACUUUAAGUUGGGAGGAAGGGCAGUAAGUUAAUAYCUUGCUGUUUUGACGUUACCGACAGAAUAAGCRCCGGCUAACUCUGUGCCAGCASCCGCGGUAAUACAGAGGGUGCRAGCGUUAAUCGGAAUUACUGGGCGUAAAGCGCGCGUAGGUGGUUCGUUAAGUUGGAUGUGAAAGCCC